UCUCACAAAGAGCAGCAGACUCCUGAUGAAAGCAGGCUCAGUGGCUCUAAGCUUUUUCAUGUGGCGGUUUCUACUUCCCACUGAGAAGUGACAAAAGCAGCAAUCCCCCUACUCUCUACAAAAACUCUCUACUGUUGCCUCCAAGAAGAUUGCUGUGGAGGCAUUCCAUCAUCAUUUCAAGGUACUGUGAGGUUUACCAUUUCCAGAACUGACAGUCAGACUUGCAUGUCACUCAAAUGUUCCUCAUACGCCAGAAGUAGUUCUGUGGCAAUUGGUUAGGGCUGUGAGUACAUGUGAGGGGCUUUCUCAAGUAGUCUUUCUAGGUUGUCCUCUUUGUCUGGCCCCACACUGAGAUGAACAAGGUGGUUAGAAAGGGUGGUCAGCUAAACACCCCACUUGUUCAUUUUUUGGUUUAUUUGUCAGGGACCAUGUAUGUGCAAAA
ensembl:lncRNA